GAAGCGCAGCUGUUUUCCUGCAGAAGCGCCCCGGAACCACACGACCUGCCGCUUUCUGGAUUUGCAGAAGUUCCUUGGGGCAGAAGUGCCAGAUCAUUCCUUCUCUCGGUCCACAGAUGGUACCACAAGAGGGAAAAGGUCCUGUGAGGCGAAUGCUCUGUCUGGAUUCAGCUUGGGUGGAUCAAGCAACUCAUCGCCUUCCCUUUGGGCUGCAGAAAGCUGCGAGGUAGCCGCGCACAGAUCUCUGGAACAAAGAUUGGUAGCAUCAGCUGUUUUAAUGCAGAGUUCGGCACACAAUCCUUGCUAAAAAUAAAUACAAAGGAAACCCC
rnacentral:lncRNA from 1 species